GGGCAAAUGGUCUAGGGGUAUGAUACUCCCUUCGCAUGUCUUGUCAGAAGCCGGUUAGAAUUCUAUCUAGCCAUUACUGCCAGAAAAGAUGCCUGGGAGGGGUCCGGGGUUCAAUUCCCCGUUUGUCCA